rnacentral:tRNA from 1 species
CAGUAAGUAGUUUAAAUUUAGAAUUUAGGUUUUGGGUUCUUGCGAUGUAUAUUUAUAUUAUACUUUACUGA